UAAAUAGAACGCUAGGGUUCCGGUUAAGCACAUAGGGCAAACAGCCAAUCGCUUAACGACUGGUCCGAGAGCAUUCGACCUCUCCUCUGAAAAGAGCAUGGGUUACACGGCGGGAUAAAAGCCCGGGAGAC
rnacentral:sRNA from 2 species